rnacentral:lncRNA from 1 species
UUAAGCAAAAAAAGGCAGAAGAAGAAAUGAAGACAACAUAGAGAGUAAGAUUUGCAUUGAUCAGUUCUGGAAAUUCACCUCCAGAAAUAUACAAUGGUCAAGCACACAUACACAAUGAAUCACAUAUACACAAGCGUAACUUGUUGAAUUCAAUUCACAAUUAGUUGAAACUGUGUGUGUAUCAGAUAGCAUUCAUUUAAAGGUACCCUUUUCCUUGAGAAUAUUAAGCUUUUAGUUCAACUGACUUAUAGGUUAUAAUGCUAUUACAUAAAAAUUCAAGAAAUGGAGUAAUACAUUACUCCAAUUAACAAAAGCUGCAAUAUUGUUGAAAUGCUUUCAUUGUUGAAUACUACAUUUAGUAAAAUGUAAAAUGUCUUAUUUUGUACGUCUCCAUUAAGACUGAUGUAGUACCUUAAAGAUCUAGUAGCACCUUAAAGACCUCCUUUCAUAGCAGACAAUCCAAGCUAACUAUUUUCAUACCAAUACGG